AGAGUUUGAUCCUGGCUCAGGACGAACGCUGGCGGCAUGCCUAAUACAUGCAAGUCGAACGAGCUGACGGAGUGCUUGCACUCCCGACGCGAGUGGCGGACGGGUGAGUAACACGUGGGAAACCUACCUGUAAGUAGGGGAUAACAUUCGGAAACGGAUGCUAAUACCCUAUAGGUUUCAGUUCCGCAUGGAACUGAAAGGAAAGACGGCUCUGCUGUCGCUUACAGAUGGUCCCGCGGCGCAUUAGCUAGUUGGUGGGAUAAAAGCUCACCAAGGCUGUGAUGCGUAGCCGACCUGAGAGGGUAACCGGCCACACUGGGACUGAGACACGGCCCAGACUCCUACGGGAGGCAGCAGUAGGGAAUCUUCCGCAAUGGACGAAAGUCUGACGGAGCAAUGCCGCGUGAAUGAAGAAGGUCUUCGGAUCGUAAAAUUCUGUUGUUAGAGAAGAACAAGGAGUAACUAACUACUACUCCCUUGACGGUAUCUAACCAGAAAGCCACGGCUAACUACGUGCCAGCAGCCGCGGUAAUACGUAGGUGGCAAGCGUUGUCCGGAUUUAUUGGGCGUAAAGGGAGCGCAGGCGGUGACUUAAGUCUGAUGUGAAAGCCCACGGCUCAACCGUGGAAGGUCAUUGGAAACUGGGUCACUUGAAUAUAGAAGAGGAAAGUGGAAUUCCAUGUGUAGCGGUGAAAUGCGUAGAUAUAUGGAGGAACACCAGUGGCGAAGGCGACUUUCUGGUCUAUUAUUGACGCUGAGGCUCGAAAGCAUGGGGAGCAAACAGGAUUAGAUACCCUGGUAGUCC
rnacentral:rRNA from 1 species